rnacentral:rRNA from 1 species
ACAUGCAAGUCGAACGAGAAUCUGCGGAAAGAGGAUUCGUCCAAUUGAAGCAGAGGACAGUGGCGGACGGGUGAGUAACGCGUGAGGAACCUGCCUUUCAGAGGGGGACAACAGUUGGAAACGACUGCUAAUACCGCAUGACACAUUGAGGUCGCAUGGCCUUAAUGUCAAAGAUUUAUCACUGUGAGAUGGACCCGCGUCUGAUUAGCCAGUUGGCAGGGUAACGGCCUACCAAAGCGACGAUCAGUAGCCGACCUGAGAGGGUGACCGGCCACAUUGGGACUGAGACACGGCCCAAACUCCUACGGGAGGCAGCAGUGGGGGAUAUUGCACAAUGGAGGAAACUCUGAUGCAGCGACGCCGCGUGAGUGAAGAAGUAUUUCGGUAUGUAAAGCCCUAUCAGCAGGGAAGAUAAUGACAGUACCUGACCAAGAAGCCCCGGCUAACUACGUG